rfam:Candidatus Izimaplasma sp. HR1 chromosome, complete genome.
GGAGGAUUAGCUCAGUUGGGAGAGCACUUGCCUUACAAGCAAGGGGUCAUUGGUUCGAGCCCAAUAUUCUCCA